rnacentral:rRNA from 1 species
CUGAAUUUAAGCAUAUUAAUGAGGGGAGGAAAAGAAACUAACAAGGAUUUUCUUAGUAGCGGCGAGCGAAAAGAAAACAGUUCAGCACUAAGUCACUUUGUCUUAAUGGCAAAUGUGAGAUGCAGUGUAUGGAAUGUCAAAUUUCUAGUAUGAGAAAUUAACGAUUUAAGUCCUUCUUAAAUGAGGCCAUUUACCCAAAGAGGGUGCCAGGCCCGUAUAACGUUAAUGAUUACUAGAUGGCAUUUCCAAAGAGUCGUGUUGCUUGAUAGUGCAGCACUAAGUGGGUGGUAAACUCCAUCUAAAACUAAAUAUAACCAUGAGACCGAUAGUAAACAAGUACCGUGAGGGAAAGUUGAAAAGAACUCUGAAUAGAGAGUUAAAUAGUACGUGAAACUGCUUAGAGGUUAAGCCCGAUGAACCUGAAUAUCCGUUAUGGAAAAUUCAUCAUUAUGAUUUUAAUAUUUAUAAUAUUAUAAUAAUGGUGUGCAUUUUUUCUAUAAAGGACAUUGUAAUCUAUUAACAUAAAUAAAUUUAUCAUAAGAUCAAGUAUGCGUAAGUUUAUUCAAAUUAUUUUGCUUGCAAUUUAACAUAGAAUAAAUGCUCUUGAUUUGAUAAAGUGUUGAUAGAUUUAUUAUAUAUAGUGCUUAAAUAUUUAUAUUUUAUAAUAGCAUAUUAAUCAUUGAUUUUUAUGUUUAUUAUAUGCACUUAUAUGAUUAACAAUGCGAAAGAUUCAGGAUACCUUCGGGACCCGUCUUGAAACACGGACCAAGGAGUCUAACAUAUUUGCAAGUUAUUGGGAAUAAAAACCUAAUAGCGAAAUUAACAUAACUUAUUAAUGGGAUUAGUUUUUAGCCUAUUUAUAGUCUAUUAAUUCAAUCCCGGGGCGUUCUAUCAGUUAUGUAUAAUAAUAUUUAUAUUAUUUAUACCUCUAACUAGAGCGUACCUUGAGCAUAUAUGCUGUGACCCGAAAGAUGGUGAACUAUACUUGAUCAGGUUGAAGUCAGGGGAAACCCUGAUGGAAGACCGAAACAGUUCUGACGUGCAAAUCGAUUGUCAGAAUUGAGUAUAGGGGCGAAAGACCAAUCGAACCAUCUAGUAGCUGGUUCCCUCCGAAGUUUCCCUCAGGAUAGCUGGUGCAUUUAAAAAUUAUGUAAAAUAAUCUUAUCUGGUAAAGCGAAUGAUUAGAGGCCUUAGGGUCGAAACGACCUUAACCUAUUCUCAAACUUUAAAUGGGUAAGAACCUCACCUUUCUUGGUAUGAAGGUCGUGGUUGUGAUAUAAUGUGCCCAGUGGGCCACUUUUGGUAAGCAGAACUGGCGCUGUGGGAUGAACCAAACGUAAUGUUACGGUGCCCAAAUUAACAACUCAUGCAGAUACCAUGAAAGGCGUUGGUUGCUUAAAACAGCAGGACGGUGGACAUGGAAGUCGUAAUCCGCUAAGGAGUGUGUAACAACUCACCUGCCGAAGCAACUAGCCCUUAAAAUGGAUGGCGCUUAAGUUGUAUACCUAUACAUUACCGCUAAAGUAGAUGGUUUAUGUUCAAUUUCGGUUGGAUUAUAAACUUUGAAACUUUAGUGAGUAGGAGGGUACAAUGGUGAGCAUAGAAGUGUUUGGCGUAAGCCUGCAUGGAGCUGCCAUUGGUACAGAUCUUGGUGGUAGUAGCAAAUAAUCGAAUGAGACCUUGGAGGACUGAAGUGGAGAAGGGUUUCGUGUGAACAGUGGUUGAUCACGAGUUAGUCGGUCCUAAGUUCAAGGCGAAAGCCGAAAAUUUUCAAGUUAUAAUGAAAAGUAAAAAAAAUUUUGCUUAGUAAUUAAACACUUGAAUAAUUUUGAACGAAAGGGAAUACGGUUCCAAUUCCGUAACCUGUUGAGUAUCCGUUUGUUAUUAAAUAUGGGCCUUGUGCUCAUCCUGGCAACAGGAACGACCAUAAAGAAGCCGUCGAGAGAUAUCGGAAGAGUUUUCUUUUCUGUUUUAUAGUCGUACUACCAUGGAAGUCUUUCGAAGAGAGAUAUGGUAGAUGGACUAGAAGAGCAUGACAUUUACUGUUGUGUCGAUAUUUUCUCCUCGGACCUUGAAAAUUUAUGGUGGGGUCACGCAAACUUCUCAACAGGCCGUACCAAUAUCCGCAGCUGGUCUCCAAGGUGAAGAGUCUCUAGUCGAUAGAAUAAUGUAGGUAAGGGAAGUCG